CCAAAUCAACGAUUGCAACUUUACUCUCGCAAAUCGAUCGGCGAAAUUCGCCUCUUCCAAGCAUAGAGUGUCUCUUGCACGUACAGUUGAACCUGCACAACUACAUCUUGUGUUGACUGGUCGAAUCUACAUUCUCCACAGACCGUCAAGAUUUUUUGGCUGAUUUUCACUACCUCUUCUGCUUCACCAAAAUUUGAACCUCAUUCUAUCCCAUCUGUCACAUUCAAUCAUAUCGAAGGUCAUUCCCUUCAAAGUCCAAUUCAUUCCCAUAAUCACUAAACUCUGGGUCAUCAUCUGAACCAGAUUCUUGUCCAUCAUGCGAAUCUCCAUGGUUUGAAGCUUUGUAAUUUGCAGAGUCGUGGUAUUCUUAAAAUGGGUCAUAAUUUGCAAAUCGAAAAGAAAAUUAUUUUAUACAUGGAAACAAUACUUCAACACGUACAGCACAAUCCCAAGAAGAAGAAAAAAAUCUUUUAUGAGAAGAAAACAAACAAAAAUUCUUUAAAGUUACCUUUGUGUGGUCCCUCCAUUUGUGCGUUUGUCAAUGGUUCUACAGGUGGGGUAGUGCGCGGGGGAACACUUUCAAGUUGGGAUUAGCCGAUUAGGGUUCGUGGAGGGUUUGGGGGAAAAACAAUUUGGAAGUCCGGUGAUCAUUUUCAAUGGGGAUAGUCGUUGGUUUUAGAGGAGGAAGUUCAGU
rnacentral:lncRNA from 1 species